rnacentral:rRNA from 1 species
GAUUCGGGGUGCAGCAGGCGCGAAAACUUUGCAAUACACGAAAGUGUGACAGGGCUAUCCCGAGUGCCAUCCGCUGAGGAAGGCUUUUACCCAGUCUAGAACGCUGGGGGAAUAAGGAGAGGGCAAGUCUGGUGUCAGCCGCCGCGGUAAUACCAGCUCUCCGAGUGGUGUGGAUGUUUAUUGGGCCUAAAGCAUCCGUAGCUGGCUAAGUUAGUCCCUUGUUAAAUCCACCGAAUUAAUCGUUGGAUUGCGGGGGAUACUGCUUGGCUAGGGGACGAGAGAGGCAGACGGUAUUUCCGGGGUAGGGGUGAAAUCCUAUAAUCCCGGGAAGACCACCAGUGGCGAAGGCUGUCUGCUAGAACGCGCCCGACGGUGAGGGAUGAAAGCUGGGGGAGCGAACCGGAUUAGAUACCCGGGUAGUCCCAGCUGUAAACGAUGCAGGCUAGGUGUUUGGACGGCCACGUGCCGUUCUAGUGCCGCAGGGAAGCUGUUAAGCCUGCCGCCUGGGGAGUACGAUCGCAAGAUUGAAACUUAAAGGAAUUGGCGGGGGAGCACAAUCACUAGUGAAU